rnacentral:rRNA from 1 species
CCUACGGGUGGCAGCAGUGAGGAAUAUUGGUCAAUGGACGCAAGUCUGAACCAGCCAAGUAGCGUGCAGGAUGACGGCCCUCCGGGUUGUAAACUGCUUUUAGUUGGGAAUAAAAUGUUCCACGUGUGGGAUUUUGUAUGUACCAUAUGAAUAAGGAUCGGCUAACUCCGUGCCAGCAGCCGCGGUAAUACGGAGGAUCCGAGCGUUAUCCGGAUUUAUUGGGUGUAAAGGGAGCGUAGGGGGAUUGUUAAGUCAGUUGUGAAAGUUUGCGGCUCAACCGUAAAAUUGCAGUUGAAACUGGCAGUCUUGAGUACAGUAGAGGUGGGCGGAAUUCGUGGUGUAGCGGUGAAAUGCUUAGAUAUCACGAAGAACUCCGGUUGCGAAGGCAGUUCACUGGACUGCAACUGACACUGAGGCUCGAAAGUGUGGGUAUCAAACAGGAUUAGAUACCCGAGUAGUC